rnacentral:tmRNA from 1 species
GGGGGCGUACUGGUUUCGACCGGAUGGUAGGAGGUUCAGAUUGCGUGCCGUGGUUGGUCGGCUGGCCACGUUAAAAGUCGACCACAGCUUCAAUUGCCGAAGCUCAGUUUUCUCUGGCCGCUUAGUUAAGUAGCCCCGAGCGAUGGCCCCAGUCGGAAGGGCCUCCCAAUCGGUCGCCAAAUCCGACUCGCCCUGUUUCAUCGCCCGAUACGGACGGGGUUAAAUUUGUUUCGAGCUGGUUGUGGAGGCACCCUGUCGGCCGGGGGCCCCGUGACGAGAUUCAAAUUGACCGAAUACGCGCGUAGACGUCUGGGCUGAAACAUUACGGGACGCGGGUUCGAUUCCCGCCGCCUCCACUU